GGGGCCGCAAUGGUGGUCGACCGCCGACGAAAACCGCACGCGGUACCGGCGGCACGCGAGUUCGAUUCUCGCCGGCUCCACCA
rnacentral:tmRNA from 2 species